AAAAAAAAUAACUGACUUGUGUUGGGUUUCUAAAGUUUGCCUGCACAGGAAGGGUUGAACUCCGGCACCAACUUUGAAACUCCACCCUUUCUCAGUUAAAAAAUGUGCUGCUAUUUUUAAGUGGGAGAAAAAAACCUACUAGUGAUUAUGGCAUGAAAUAAUCAGAAAUAUUCAAGCUUCCCCUUGGAAAUAGGGACCAGGAGGAAGGAGGUGACGGAGACUCAGAUCAAGACUCCACGUGACAGAGACCGACGCAGAGCCUUCCUGCCCACCUGUCCUGAGUGAUGGGGCACCUCAGCCUUGGACACAUGCCGUCUCCACAGCGGGCGAGGAGGAUGUCAAGAAAAUGGCUUGAUAUGGGGACAGGUGUCUGCUCAGUGCCUCAGAUGCUGUCCGCUGCAACCAGAGGCUCUAAGAGGCUGCUCCCUCUUCCACAGGGAGCUGAGGACCAUCCAGAGGACGGAGCUGACUUCUAGGGGGAAAUUUCAGGGACCUGAAAAAUGCUUCCAGAAACACAACUGGGCUUCAAGCACAAAGCCCUCCAGCCUCUUCUCCUCAGGAGUGACUCUUCUCCAGGGUGGAGCCGGCACCCUGGAUGAGAGCUCAGCUUUCAUCUCUCAACAGCUCACCUCAACGGCCAGGAAGGAACCCAGGGAAGCCAGGGAUUCCGGGAGGCUGCAGCUCUGUGCAGAUCUCAGGCGAUGGGGAGAGACCCAGGUGGAACCCACUUUGGGCUGGACGUCGUGUGUCUUUCUAGGACCCAGGAGAUUCCCGUUUCAGAGUGGGCAGGGGUGCAGCUGGGGAGAAGGCAGUUCUUCUUGAGCUCCAGGCUCCUGGAGACAGGCUGUGCCCCAAAAGUGACUCUAAUGAGGAUGGAGGCCUGCCUGAGGCAACUCGAAGGGGAUCCAGGCUCAGGGACCCUUGUUCCCUCCACAUAGUCAUUUGUGCGUCUCACAGACCCCCAAAGGUCGAGCCUUCGAAUACCGGAGAGUCUACAGCUUGUACACAGAGAUGUCUGAGCUCAAGCUCUGGUGAGACGGAUAGAAGGAUGGAGAAAACCUCCUCUAGCUCCGGCCCUGGAGUGGGUCCUGGGCUCUGGACGGAUGACAGCUUGGUUCAGAGCCCUGCAGUCCUCUUGAGCCACAGAGGCUGCUUGGCUAAGCCAGGCCUCAGCCCCCAACCCAGCUUGAGAUCUGGAAUUUCCUGGAAUGCAAGUGACUUCAAGGACUAGAGCGAAUGCCUCAGAGCUAACUUCUCACCAACCUUGUCUCAUUAACCUCACAGAAGCAGCCAAAGCUGGGCUCGCUGGGCAGCUGCCUGUGCAGGCCCUUCACGGGAGGCCUCAGGCCCCAGAAAUCACAUCGGGCUCUCCAUACCUUGGUGAUAUUCAGCCACCCACGGAGAGGGUGGGACUGCUGUUUCUUAAGCCAGCACAUAUUCCAGGCAAGGGUUGAGCCCUUCCCUGGCGGGGGCAGCUGGGGUGAGGGUUGUGGGGGGUGUCCUAGCUGCUCACAGGGCCCUGCCUAGUCCCUGACCUCUCGCACCAGGCUGGCGCUCAGAAGAUGCUCUCUGAGCAAACUCCUCCUUGUAGUGCUUGUGUCAGAUGUACUAUGGGGUCAGGGAGCAAGCCGCCCACAGUCAGGCCACCUGCAGCCUCUCCCUGGCACUGGGCUCAAGGCCCAGUUGGAGCAGGCCCUCGGCCUGUCUUCUGCCUAAGAGAAUGCACUGUCCUUCUGGCCAGGGCUAUCCACAACCCUGCUGACGCCAUGCAUUUUUGACCUUGGCCUUUCUCGUGAGGAAACUCAGAUCACACAACACGGGGGACUGGGAAAGCUGGAGUCAGCAUUUCUGUUCUGAGGUGGCCGGGGGCAGAAGACUUCUCUGCAGCUAAAGGAAUCCAUCUGGUGUGGAGACGGGGCCUGGAUGGAGCCCUGGGGCUGGAGGCUGGCACUUCCAAUCGAGACUGCCCGUUUGGUCCUGCCCUGGGUGACAGUAUACAGGCUUAUCUUGGCCACCCCACAGGAAAGAGCCAGGAACACAGAGAAAGGUGGUCCGCCUCUUGGACCAUACCUGGGACAGAAGGAAGCACCUUCACUUUGAAGAAUGGAUGAAUCACAUCUGGUACACGUGGGUCCCCAGGGCCUUGGUGACUAUUCUAGGAGACCAUGAGUUGGGAAAGGUAUGGCAAGGCACCCACAGGAGAGCUGAUGACAACUGAGAGGAUCAGUGACUGUGGAUGAUGGACCAACAAGGGCCAGCUGUCCUCUCCACAGAAAGAUGGGUGGAAGAACGGUCAUUUUCUUUAUGACAGCGGGGCAGCCUCAGUCUCUCAUUUCCACAGCUAGGGUGAGGACCACCUUCUCUAUUGGGAGUUGGAACUGGACACUUCUCCCUAGCAUUUUUCUGCAUUAGAAUGUGGGCUUGAUAUGAGGCACUUGUCUCUUGCCAGAGAUGGAAAGUGCUUCCAGCAGUCUUCUUUGGCUCUUUGUAAAAAGGGCAAAUAUGACAUCGCUUUGGGUAUCCCUGGUGCCCUCAUCUCCCACGAGGAGAGGCCCACCCCACCAUCUCCCCCACGUAGCUGUGGGGAGGAUGCACUGGCUCCCAAGCUUCUGAGUUCAGCCAUCGUUCUACUUGGUUUCCUGGCUCCUACUCCUACUGGGGAAUGGGGUGACCCCAUUAAGAGGCUGGACUACACGUGGGCCCCGUAGGCAGACCACCAAGCAGAUCCUGAAAUGGUGUCUUUGGCCAGAGGCCUCAUUCAGCCCAGAUCUCCCAGAAUAUCACCAUCUGCAGUUAGCCUUGCAGGGGUCAAAUUGUGAGUUCUGAUCUUUACAUUUUAUUUUAGAGAUGGGGUCUUGCUGUAUUGUCCAAGCUGGACUCAAAGUCGGGCUAGAGUGAUCCUCUGGCUUCUGCCUCCCAAGAAGCUGGGACUAUAGGUGUGCAGAGUUCUGAUCUUUGGUCCCGGAAAAAAGGUCAGCACAGCCCGGAAUGGGACCACUUCAGAACCAUACUCUUUUCCUUCUUUGUACUACUCAUUACCAGGGGCUUCCCAGGCCCAUCGAGAAACCUGGUCCUGUAGACCUCUGUGCCACGGCCCCACCAUUCCUGCUGGACAGCUUAGGCUCAGGGGCUGCCAUAAGAUCCAGCCCAGCUCCUGGGGCUACACUGGUGGUGUCGUGCUUGGUGCGGAAAACCCCAAGGCUAGGGUUUACAACCCUUGUCCCUUAUGCCCUAUCAGGCCCCUUCCACAGGCCCUGCCCUUCUCUCCACCCCAUGGGGCUGGGGACCCUCCCUGGCCAAAGUCCAGCAGACUGGACAGACCCUCCAGAAAGUAAUGGCAGGAGACGCACGGGACGUUUGACCCAUUUGUCUCCCUCUACCUACGUGUGCAGUCCUUCUGGUUUUGGGCAAGGUCAAAGCCGGGCCUGCAGUCGCAGGCCACCCCACCUUUGGGCGUCUCCCGGCAGAUGUGGGCACAGCCAUGGUCUUUGUUCAUGCAGUUCAUACCCUCUGGGAAGAGAGACAGACAAGAGACGGGUUGAAGACCAGGCAGAGAGGGAGAGAGAAAAUUUCAGGCUGAAAGGGGAUAGCCAAUGAUAUGUAACAAUCAAAUGGGCUGUCAUUGCAUGUAUCAUGCACACACACGCACUUGCGCACACACACAUAUGCGUGUGUGCAGCAGCCAUCUACAUGGAUAUCCCUUAGGGAGAAAGCAAGGGCACGGUGCCUGGGUCUAGAUUCAGGCUUUGCUCUGUGAGUUGCACUGUAAAUGGCACCUCGUGACCCACGGAGACCAAGCUCUUGCUCUAGGUCAGAUUGUGGGGCAUGGUCUGUAGAACUACUUUUGUGUCAGGGUGAUUUGCUCCCCUCUCCCGAGCCACCCAUGGUUCUAGGGUACCCCCCACCCGCCCAGCAGACUGGAUCUCCCCUCUCUGUCUGCCUGGAGUGGCUCAUACCCCCUUCCGUUGACCUCAGUUGAUGUUUAUCUUCCUGGUGAUUUGUGAGGCGUUUCUAGAAUUUAUGAGGUCAGGGGUCAAGUGAGAGGUUGUAGGUCACAAGUCCAUCAAGAGGCCAAGGCAGAUGAAAGGGAAGCGCCUCUGUCUGCCAACCCACCAGCUCUGUGACCUGCCUUCCACCUCCACCCACAGGAAGCUCAGGCAGGAGUGAAGCCGGCUCGGGGAGCGGCAGUGAAGGCUGCAGACGGCGAACACGCACAGGGCAACCUCCUUCCCCCGGGACACACCGGCCUCUUGUUCCAAGGGAGGACUGGCUCAAUCCUGACCCCGUCCACUUUAAAUACGGGUAUGCAGCAACACAGAAUAGAUUUAAGAACACAAACACCCUGCUAGUUGUAAUAAAGACAAAAACGUCUAAAGUUAAAAAUCAAA